rnacentral:rRNA from 1 species
GGAAGUAAAAGUCGUAACAAGGUUUCCGUAGGUGAACCUGCGGAAGGAUCAUUAACAAAUCGUAGUUGUAGUUGGGCAACCACUACACAUACACCCACUCCUAGCUUUUGCUAGGUGUCGGUUCCUAAUCCUUCUCUCUCUCUCUUUCUGUGUCCUUUGCACGGGAAAAGGGGGGGAUGGAUCUGGGAGACUGCCGUAAAACGUAGUCACAUAGACGCUUGUUUUGGUUUGACAGAGUUUUUGUAAAGCAAAAAUAUUGACAACUUUUAACAAUGGAUCUCUUGGCUCUUGCAACGAUGAAGAACGCAGUGAAAUGCGAAAAGUAAUGCGAUUUGCAUGAAUCUGUGAGUCAUCAAGUUUUUGAACGCACCUUGCACCAUAUGAGUAAUUGUAUGGUAUACCUGUUUGAGAAUCGUAAAAACCCCAUCCUUUUUACCACAUCACACACCCUUUCACAUGAAGGGGGGGAGAGGUGUACAAAAUAGGGACUUGUCGGAUGUCAAAUACACACAUCUUUAUUGAUUGAUUGUAUAUGGACUCUGAUUAAAUGCAGUAGGUUUGGAUCAGGCUGGUGGCCUGGGACAUUGUGUGCUAGAGACUAACAGUCUUCUCACAGUGCGUCCCGGGUCAAUUAAAAGCUGGCCUGUGGUAGAGCCUUCAACAGCGCAUCGGAGCAAUCCGAUGGCUACACCUUUCUCUUUGAUCUCAAAUCAGGUAAGGCUACCCGCUGAACUUAAGCAUAUCAAUAAGCGGAGGA